rnacentral:rRNA from 1 species
AUACGGAGGGUGCAAGCGUUAAUCGGAAUUACUGGGCGUAAAGCGCGCGUAGGCGGCUGAUUAAGUCGGAUGUGAAAUCCCUGGGCUCAACCUAGGAACUGCAUCCGAUACUGGUCAGCUAGAGUUUUGGAGAGGUAAGUGGAAUUUCCGGUGUAGCGGUGAAAUGCAUAGAGAUCGGAAGGAACACCAGUGGCGAAGGCGACUUACUGGCCAAAAACUGACGCUGAGGUGCGAAAGCGUGGGUAGCGAACAGGAUUAGAAACCCCAGUAGUCC